UAACGGGGCGGUCCUCUAUGAGGCCCGCCAUUGUAUUGAGUAAAACUCAAAAUAUUUAACGAAACCAAUUGGAGGGCAAGUCUGGUGCCAGCAGCCGCGGUAAUUCCAGCUCCAAAAGCAUAUAUUAAAGUUGUUGCGGUUAAAAAGCUCGUAGUUGGAUCCAUGACCUCGGAGGGCGGUCCCCCACUGGGUGCGUACUGCUGCUCCGAGUCCUAUCUGUCAGUUUGUCUGUGUUGCCUUUAAUCGGGUGGCACAGGUGACUGACGUGUUUACUUUGAAAAAAUUAGAGUGUUUAAAGCAGGUGUUGAAUGCCUGAAUAGUGGUGCAUGGAAUAAUGGAAUAGGAUCUCGGUUCUAUUUUGUUGGUUCAAGAGCAUGAGAAAAUGAUUAAGAGGGACAGACGGGGGCAUUUGUAUUGCUGCGUUAGAGGUGAAAUUCUUGGAUCGUAGCAAGACAAACUACUGCGAAGGCAUUUGCCAAGAAUGUUUUCAUUAAUCAAGAACGAAAGUUAGAGGUUCGAAGGCGAUCAGAUACCGCCCUAGUUCUAACCGUAAACCAUGUCGACUAGCUAUCUGUCAGCGUUAAUUGACCUGACAGGCAGCUUACCGGAAACGAAAGUUUCUCGAUUCCGGGGGUAGUAUGGUUGCAAAGCUGAAACUUAAAGGAAUUGACGGAAGGGCACCACCAGGAGUGGAGCCUGCGGCUUAAUUUGACCCAACACGGGAAAACUCACCCGGCCCGGACACCGUAAGGAUUGACAGAUUAAUAGCUCUUUCUCGAUUUGGUGAUUGGUGGUGCAUGGCCGUUCUUAGUUGGUGGAGCGAUUUGUCUGGUUAAUUCCGAUAACGAACGAGAUUCUAACUUACUAACUAGUUCCACGAUCCUUGUGGUCCUAAAUACUUCUUAGAGGGAAAACCGGCAUUUAGUCGAACGAGAUUGAGCAAUAACAGGUCUGUGAUGCCCUUAGAUGUCCGGGGCUGCACGCGUGCUACACUGAAGGAAUCAGCGUGUUUUUCCCUUGCCUGUAAUGGCUGGGUAACCGACUGAAUCUCCUUCGUGUUAGGGAUAGAUCAUUGAAACUAGUGAUCUUCAACUUGGAAUUCCUGGUACGUUUGAGUCAUAAGCUCAAGCAGAUUACGUCCCUGCCCUUUGUACACACCGCCCGUCGCUACUACCGACUGGCAAUAUCUUUGAGACACUUGGAGCGGCCGUGAGCUACCCUAACCGGUAACUCACGGCUGCGAAAAGGUU
rnacentral:rRNA from 1 species